UUCCUGGUGGCUCAGACUGUAAAGCGUCUGCCUGCAAUGCAGGAGACCCGGGUUCGAUUCCUGGGUGGGAAG
rfam:Ovis aries breed Texel chromosome 13, whole genome shotgun sequence.